rnacentral:rRNA from 1 species
CAGCAGCCACGGUAAUACGCAGGGUGCGAGCGUUAAUCGGAAUUACUGGGCGUAAAGCGUGCGCAGGCGGUUGUGUAAGACAGGUGUGAAAUCCCCGGGCUUAACCUGGGAACUGCGCUUGUGACUGCACAGCUAGAGUAUGGCAGAGGGGGGUGGAAUUCCACGUGUAGCAGUGAAAUGCGUAGAGAUGUGGAGGAACACCGAUGGCGAAGGCAGCCCCCUGGGCCAAUACUGACGCUCAUGCACGAAAGCGUGGGGAGCAAACAGGAUUAGAUACCCCGGUAGUCCCUGUCUCUUAUAC